rnacentral:lncRNA from 1 species
CAGAAGUUGCUGCUGUAUCAGCUUGACGUGAUGGAACAGAGGAACUGCUAUAUUUUAAAAAUCUAAGAGCAUAUGCCUGAAUAGCAAGUUCAUUGUCAUUUCCAGGGUGCUGCUGCUGCUCCUUAUUUGUAUCCUUCUCCAUAACAUGUUGCACAAAAAGAUGAGACAUAAAGUAGAGUAUUUCAAAGAUCUGAUACAACUAGAACAUGAAUAUAAAAUAUUCAGCAAUUUUGCAAGACAAAGUUACUGAAGACGAGGAAAACAAGCCCAAACAGCUCUAUAGCUAUCAAUAAUUCCAAAUACUUAAUUGGAUUUUCUUGAUCUGAAUUCCAAAGACCAUAUGCAUUUAGAUUUAAAUUUUAACUUAUAAUCCAGACCCUAGGAACUCAAUCAUCAAAUAAUCCAACCAACCCCAGAAAGCCAACACACUAAAAGAAAAACACGGAGACCACAUUUCAUAUAAACUAAAAUUAAAAUCCAAAAAGGUUUUAAUAAGAAGAAGACUAAAAUCCAUAUAAAUACCAAAGUUCUCAGUAACCUCUUCUCUACAUUUUUAAAGCAAGCCAGUUCUCCCAGAUCAUGUUUCCUACAUAGCAACUAAGAUAAACCAUGUACCAAAGAACAGAACAUAUUAGUGGAUAAUCAAUGUGCAAAAAAUAAAAAUAAAAAACAGUAACUGAAUUUGAAUAUUUAAAAGAAACUACCACCAAGCUUUAAUAAGAAAAUUAAACAUAAAAAAUGAUAAUCAUUAAUGUCAUCACAUAGAAAGACAUGCAUAAAAUGAUUAACCUUAAAGACCAAUAGAAGUCCAUCAAUAUAACCAGUACCAUAUCAAGUUCUGCAUUGUUGUUCUUAAGAACUUCAUCAGCCUGUGAUCCCACUAGAUCAUAGCCACAGUUUUUUGGACCAAGAUCCCUACUAUUUAGAAGCAACUGUGCUGAAUGCCAAAAGUCCAUGACAGCAUUAGCUAGG